CAGGAUUGGUUGUCUGGCUACCGCUGCGCGGGGCUGUGGGAUGCGGGCUUGUUAUCUUGGUGAAGGAGAGAGGUCUCUGGAAGCCGGAAGCGAGUCUGCGCCCAUCCGAGGCUUUGGGAGUCUGGGUGUUAUUUUUUCAGGAUGGGAAAAGAUAACGUUUCUUGUUUCUCCCGGGCUUAGGAGAUUUGGGAAUUCACAAAGCGAGUUACUGUUUCCUGAUUGGGGGGUUGGGUUGUGCCCUGGCUCCAGCCUUAUUUCUGUUUUCACACAAGGUAUGGCUUCGGUCUUUCCUGAAGUGGCCGCAGUUUGUGUUUUAUUCUGAGCAUCUGUUGUGUAAGGCAUUGGCUAUCCCGCCUUGCUUUGAGGAAUCUGUGCAAAGCGCCUUGAGGUAGAGAUGGGGAAUGAGGGCUUGGAGGUGCUUAAAGUAUGGUCUCUUCCCACGUGACAUGUUGGAGGUCAAGAUGAAAUAUCUGGCUUCGAAAUCUUCAUUGAGGACUUAUAUCAUUAAGUCCUGAAUCUGAAUCACUUCCCUGGUGCCUUAUUAUUGUAUUAAAAGUGUUUCAAUUAA